rnacentral:rRNA from 1 species
GAUGAACGCUGGCGGCGUGCCUAAUACAUGCAAGUCGAGCGACCAGACGAGGAUCUUGCUCCUCUGACGUUAGCGGCGGACGGGUGAGUAACACGUGGAUAACCUACCUAUAAGACUGGGAUAACUUCGGGAAACCGGAGCUAAUACCGGAUAAUAUAUUGAACCGCAUGGUUCAAUAGUGAAAGACGGUUUUGCUGUCACUUAUAGAUGGAUCCGCGCCGCAUUAGCUAGUUGGUACGGUAACGGCUUACCAAGGCAACGAUGCGUAGCCGACCUGAGAGGGUGAUCGGCCACACUGGAACUGAGACACGGUCCAGACUCCUACGGGAGGCAGCAGUAGGGAAUCUUGCGCAAUGGGCGAAAGCCUGACGGAGCAACGCCGCGUGAGUGAUGAAGGUCUUCGGAUCGUAAAACUCUGUUAUUAGGGAAGAACAAAUGUGUAAGUAACUAUGCACGUCUUGACGGUACCGAAUCAGAAAGCCACGGCUAACUACGUG